rnacentral:tRNA from 2 species
AGGCCCAUAGUGCAAUGGUUAGCAUACCGGUCUCCAAAACCGUUGAUGAGGGUUCGAAUCCUUCUGGGCCUGCCA